rnacentral:lncRNA from 10 species
CAUUCAUUCAUUCCAUUGCUACUGACUGGAUGCCAGCUGUGAGCCAGGCACCACCCUAGCUCUGGGCAUGUGGUUGUAAUCUUGGAGCCUCAUGGAGCUCACAGGGAGUGCUGGCAAGGAGAUGGAUAAUGGACGGAUAACAAAUAAACAUUUAGUACAAUGUCCGGGAAUGGAAAGUUCUCGAAAGAAAAUUAAAGCUGAUGUCCAAAAAUGAUACUGACAUCCCAGGUCAGAAUGGUCGCCAGUUCCGAUCAAGACAGAGCCCCGUAUCUUCCAGGGACACUAGACAAGAUGCCAGGACCACGCCUCCGCUCUGCCCAGAGGCCAAAAGCAGCCCAACAAGACUGGGAGCUUCAUGAGGGCAGAGGCUGGCUGUCAUGCUCAGGGGUGCAGAGAAGAUCCUGACUUAAAAUUCCUGUGACUUGGACAUGCAGGAGAAGCCAGACGUGAAGGAUAUAAAUUGAACCAACUUGGACUGAAGAUCCCAGCCAGGAGGAUCUGCUCCCCCAGGAAGGGAACUGAUUUGUCCUCGAGGCCCCUGGGAUAGGAGAAGCCACAGCAUCCUGUUGUUUGAUCUUCUUAUCUUCAAGCAGGCAUGACUCGGUUCCAGAAAUACAAGCCAUAAGAUAGACCUCCAGACUCCUAGAGACGAUCUGAAGCUGCAGAAGCCCUCCACUGAAAGACCGGACCCACUGCCUACUCCUCCUGGCAGGUGCCCUGGACAAGGGCACAGACUUCACAGCGUUCAAGUGUGAAGGGAUUGUCCUUCUCCAGCCCUGGAUAUUAAAAGGUCUACCCCGAUGAGCCAUGGAGGGACUCUGAGUGUGUGUGUGUGUGUGUGUGUGUGUGUGUGUGUGUGUGUGUGUUGGAGGAGUUGCUUAUGGAAAAUAUUUUUCCUGCUCUUAAAAAGGGACUCCUGCCAGGCAUGGUGGCUCAUGCCUGUAAUCCAAGCAGUUUGGGAGGCCGAGGCAGGUGGAUCACCUGAGGUCAG